rnacentral:lncRNA from 1 species
CCCAAAGGGCCUGUGUUUAAACACUUAAUUCUCAGAGUAGUGUAAUUGGAAAGUGAUAGAAAUCUUUAAGAGGUGGAGCCUACUGGGAAGUUUUAUGUAAUUGUGGAUGUGUCCUCAAAAGGGACUAUGAAAUGCCAAUCUCCUUUUCUCCCCUUUGCUUCCUGGCAGAGUGAGCAGCUUUGUUCUACCACAUACUUCUGUAAUGAUUCAGUGCCUUACUACAGGCUGAAAAAACGAAGCCAAUGAGCUAUGGAUUGAAACUCUAAACCAAACUUGUGUCAAGUUGACACACAAAACCAGCCAGUACAGUCUGCUAGCAAAAUACCAACACAUAUUAGCAGCUGCAGUCCAGUUUACUUGGCAAUCACCAUCCACAAAUCAGCAAUAGCAGUUCGAUCCAGAAGAAACUGUGAGGCUCUGCUAAUCAGCCCAUCUCUGAGGAAGUUGCAAGCAUCUGGUGGAAUAGCACAAGAACUUCUUUGUCUAGUCACUCUUUAUGAAGUCAUGAAGUUCAUGAAGAUCAGCAAUGCAAUGCAAGG